AUCACGAAAGUUACCCCUUGAUAUAAUAUUGAUUCUUUAUAACUAGCUCCAAACACAAAAAUCAAACUGUCCACUUGACCAUCAUCAUCAUCAAUAUCAUCACAAAGGCUCCGGAAUAAAGAUCAGCACAGGACUGAAAACGCUUUCUAUAAUCUGCCCACCUAAUCUUUAUUUGCUGAUGAUGAAAGGAGAAGGGGUGUGCGCGUGUGUGUGUGUGUGUGUGUGUGUGUGUGUCUGUGUGCGAGCGCUGUCCGGGCGGGGGAUGGGGGGGGGAUGGGGGGGGGGGGGGGGAGGGCAUCGGAGCAGGGAAUGUCAUCUGAGCAAACAAAAAACAACACAGGAGGUUAAGAAAAAAGAAGCCCGCUCAGCCUCCUUGCCAAGAAACCCAAUGAUGAUCGCAGAAGUUAACGAUCGCGCCCCGAAGCUCUGCUUUCCUGGAGGAGGGGAACCCCGCGCUCGGCAGGCCCGGCUUUGGGUUUAUGCUUCUUCCCCCCCCCCCCCCCCCCCCCCCCCGAGCGGAGCGGUCCUCAGUGAAGGCAGAGAGUUAAGUAAGAAAGCAAACCGCGGCAGAGUGCUCUCAGGCAGCGUUACUCCUCGCUUAGCAUCAGCACUAACGAGUCGUCCUCUCCCCUCGCCCGUCCGCAAAGCGAUCCAUCAUUUAUUUCCAGAUCACCUGGUGAUCUGUAACACAGAAAGAAAAAAAAAAAAAAGAGAGAGAGAGAUUAAGGAAGGAGCCGCCGACACCGCUCCAUGCGCAAUACCUAUCGGCUGAUGUAGAAAAGAAAGCAUAAUCCACAUGUAUAUUGCCUUUAACGAAAGGUAUUUCCUUCGCCUUCCCUCCCUACAGUACCGGCAUGCUUUUGCUGAGGGCUGCGUUUGCACAGUCGCCAGUAAUUACACGCGUGUGUCCGCCGGGAGAACGAAGGUUGGGAAGGUGGGAGGUAGGACGUGAUUCCUCUUUGGAGCAAUCAGGACUGGGAAAGGUUUCAUUCCGUGCAGACGUUGCCUUUGCUAGAUGGUGUCUCCCUUCGUGAGGAAUGGUGCUAAAAGUGGAUGGAAUCUGUUAAAGACACUGCUCUGCAUGUGGAAUUAUGGCAGAACUGACACUGACUAGAUCCUCCACAUUGGAGUUCAGUGAACCAAAGUGAGCUGCACUAUUUCCGUGCUUGACCUGCAGUGAGGAAUAUCACAUACAUACUUCUUGAUAAUCUCCAGUGAAACUGGAAAAAAAACAAACAAACAAAAAAAGUG
rnacentral:lncRNA from 1 species